rnacentral:rRNA from 1 species
GAUGAACGCUGACGGCGCGCCUAACACAUGCAAGUCGAACGGCACCCCUCCUCGGAGGGAAGCGAGUGGCGAACGGCUGAGUAACACGUGGAGAACCUGCCCCCUCCCCCGGGAUAGCCGCCCGAAAGGACGGGUAAUACCGGAUACCCCGGGGUGCCGCAUGGCACCCCGGCUAAAGCCCCGACGGGAGGGGAUGGCUCCGCGGCCCAUCAGGUAGACGGCGGGGUGACGGCCCACCGUGCCGACAACGGGUAGCCGGGUUGAGAGACCGACCGGCCAGAUUGGGACUGAGACACGGCCCAGACUCCUACGGGAGGCAGCAGUGGGGAAUCUUGCGCAAUGGGGGGAACCCUGACGCAGCGACGCCGCGUGCGGGACGGAGGCCUUCGGGUCGUAAACCGCUUUCAGCAGGGAAGAGUCAAGACUGUACCUGCAGAAGAAGCCCCGGCUAACUACGUG